rnacentral:rRNA from 1 species
GACGAACGCUGGCGGCGUGCUUAACACAUGCAAGUCGAACGGAAAGGCCCUGCUUUUGUGGGGUGCUCGAGUGGCGAACGGGUGAGUAACACGUGAGUAACCUGCCCUUGACUUUGGGAUAACUUCAGGAAACUGGGGCUAAUACCGGAUAGGAGCUCCUGCUGCAUGGUGGGGGGUGGAAAGUUUCGGCGGUUGGGGAUGGACUCGCGGCUUAUCAGCUUGUUGGUGGGGUAGUGGCUUACCAAGGCUUUGACGGGUAGCCGGCCUGAGAGGGUGACCGGCCACAUUAGGACUGAGAUACGGCCCAGACUCAUACGGGAGGCAGCAGUGGGGAAUAUUGCACAAUGGGCGGAAGCCUGAUGCAGCAACGCCGCGUGCGGGAUGACGGCCUUCGGGUUGUAAACCGCUUUCGCCUGUGACGAAGCGUGAGUGACGGUAAUGGGUAAAGAAGCACCGGCUAACUACGUG